rnacentral:rRNA from 1 species
CACGGUCCAGACUCCUACGGGAGGCAGCAGUGGGGAAUAUUGCACAAUGGGCGCAAGCCUGAUGCAGCCAUGCCGCGUGUGUGAAGAAGGCCUUCGGGUUGUAAAGUACUUUCAGCGGGGAGGAAGGCGUUUAGGUUAAUAACCUCGGCGAUUGACGUUACCCGCAAAAGAAGCACCGGCUAACUCCGUGCCAGCAGCCGCGGUAAUACGGAGGGAGCAAGCGUUAAUCGGAAUUACUGGGCGUAAAGCGCACGCAGGCGGUCUGUCAAGUCGGAUGUGAAAUCCCCGGGCUCAACCUGGGAACUGCAUUCGAAACUGGCAGGCUAGAGUCUUGUAGAGGGGGGUAGAAUUCCAGGUGUAGCGGUGAAAUGCGUAGAGAUCUGGAGGAAUACCGGUGGCGAAGGCGGCCCCCUGGACAAAGACUGACGCUCAGGUGCGAAAGCGUGGGGAGCAAACAGGAUUAGAUACCCUGGUAGUCCACGCCGUAGACGAUGUCUAUUCGGAGGUUGUGCCCUUGAGGCGUGACUUCCGGAGCUAACGCGUUAAAUCGACCGCCUGGGGAGUACCGCCGCAAGGUUAGUACUCAGAUGAAUUUACGGGGGCCCGCACAGGCGGUGGAGCAGGUGGUUUAUUCGAGGCAGCGCGAAGCACCUUAGCUGCUCUUGACAUCCAAAGAAUU